rnacentral:tRNA from 1 species
AUUUUAAUGACUGAUAAAAGUAAUAAAUUGUAAAUUUAUAAAUAAGAAUUUUAAUUUA